GGAUCCAGACUUUGAUUAUGGCUCAGGAUGAACGCUAGCUACAGGCUUAACACAUGCAAGUCGAGGGGCAGCGGUAUCGAAAGCUUGCUUUCGGUAGCCGGCGACCGGCGCACGGGUGAGUAACGCGUAUCGAACCUGCCUCAUACUCGGGAAUAGCCUUGCGAAAGUAAGAUUAAUGCCCGGUGUUUUCAGAGUCCCGCAUGAGGCUUUGAACAAAGAUUUAUCGGUAUGAGAUGGCGAUGCGUCCCAUUAGCUUGUUGGCGGGGUAACGGCCCACCAAGGCAUCGAUGGGUAGGGGUUCUGAGAGGAAGGUCCCCCACAUUGGAACUGAGACACGGUCCAAACUCCUACGGGAGGCAGCAGUGAGGAAUAUUGGUCAAUGGGCGGAAGCCUGAACCAGCCAAGUAGCGUGCAGGAAGACGGCCCUCCGGGUUGUAAACUGCUUUUAGUUGGGAAUAAAACGGGGCUCGUGAGCCCCCUUGCAUGUACCAUCAGAAAAAGGACCGGCUAAUUCCGUGCCAGCAGCCGCGGUAAUACGGAAGGUCCGGGCGUUAUCCGGAUUUAUUGGGUUUAAAGGGAGCGCAGGCGGACCUUUAAGUCAGCUGUGAAAUACGGCGGCUCAACCGUCGAACUGCAGUUGAUACUGGAGGUCUUGAGUGCACACAGGGAUGCUGGAAUUCAUGGUGUAGCGGUGAAAUGCUCAGAUAUCAUGAAGAACUCCGAUCGCGAAGGCAGGCAUCCGGGGUGCAACUGACGCUGAGGCUCGAAAGUGCGGGUAUCAAACAGGAUUAGAUACCCUGGUAGUCCGCACAGUAAACGAUGAAUACUCGCGGUUUGCGAUACAUUGUAAGCCGCCAAGCGAAAGCGUUAAGUAUCCCACCUGGGGAGUACGCCGGCAACGGUGCAA
rnacentral:rRNA from 1 species